rnacentral:rRNA from 1 species
CUGGACUAGUGAGAGGAAGAGAGGGUGGUGUGUAGGGUGGGCGCGUGUACCGGGAUUAUGAGGCGUAAGGAGUCUGGAGGGGGUUGGUGGUGUCGGUCUGUAAAGGCCGGGGCCUAAGAGCGGAGUUGCGGAGGUUACGGGCAGACUAGAGUGCAGUAGGGGAGGUUGGAAGUCUUGGGGUAGCGGUGGUAUGCGCAGAUAUCAUGAGGAACAACGAUGGCGAAGGCAGGUCUCUGGGCUGUAACGGACGCUGAGGAGCGAAAGCAUGGGGAGCGAACAGGAUUAGAUCCCCGUGUAGUC